UCCUUUUUCAAAUCAGUGAAAUUAAUCUCCCCGUGAAGAAGCGGGGAUACUCAUAUAAGACGAGAAGACCCCAUGGAGCUUCAAACCCAACUACACCCCUAGCUCUUAUAGCCCCACAACCCCCCUAGGCACCGUGUGCUUGGUUUUAGGUUGGGGCGACCGCGGAGUACAAUAAAACCUCCACAAUGAAUGGGAACACCCCCUUAUCUGAGGGCCACACCCCCUAAGAAUUAGAACACUAACAUAAAAUGAUCCAUUAUUUGAUCAAUGAACCAAGUUACCCUGGGGAUAACAGCGCAAUCCAUUUCAAGAGCCCCUAUCGACAAAUGGGUUUACGACCUCGAUGUUGGAUCAGGGUACCCCAGUGGUGCAGCAGCUACUAACGGUUCGUUUGUUCAACGAUUAAAACCCU
rnacentral:rRNA from 1 species